rnacentral:rRNA from 1 species
UACAGAGGGGGCAAGCGUUAUUCGGAAUUAUUGGGCGAAAGGCGCGUAGGCGGCUCGCAAGUGGAAGGUGAAAUCCCUCCGGCUUAACCGAGGGAACUGGCCCUCCAAACUGCGUGGCUUGAGUCCGGGAGAGGUGAGUGGAAUUCCCAGUGUAGCGGUGAAAUGGCGUAGAUAUUGGGAGGAACACCAGUGGCGAAGGCGGCUCACUGGACCGGUAACUGACGCUGAGGCGCGAAAGCGUGGGGAGCAACGG